rnacentral:rRNA from 1 species
GACGAAUGCUGGCUGCGUGCUUAACACAUGCAAGUCGAACGGUGAAGGAGGGCUUGCCCUCCGGAUCAGUGGCGAACGGGUGAGUAACACGUGGGCAACCUGCCCCUCACUCUGGGAUAACGCCGGGAAACCGGCGCUAAUACCGGAUACGACCAGGCGCGACAUCCCGCCGUGUGGAAAGAAUUUCGGUGAGGGAUGGGCCCGCGGCCUAUCAGCUAGUUGGUGGGGUAACGGCCCACCAAGGCGACGACGGGUAGCCGGCCUGAGAGGGCGACCGGCCACACUGGGACUGAGACACGGCCCAGACUCCUACGGGAGGCAGCAGUGGGGAAUAUUGCGCAAUGGGCGAAAGCCUGACGCAGCGACGCAGCGUGAGGGACGAAGGCCUUCGGGUUGUAAACCUCUUUCAGCGGGGACGAAGCGAAAGUGACGGUACCCGCAGAAGAAGCACCGGCUAACUACGUGCCAGCCGCCGCUGUAACAC